rnacentral:rRNA from 1 species
CACUCCUGCGGGAGGCAGCAGUGGGGAAUUUUGGACAAUGGGCGAAAGCCUGAUCCAGCAAUGCCGCGUGAGUGAAGAAGGCCUUCGGGUUGUAAAGCUCUUUUGUCAGGGAAGAAACGGUGAAAGCUAAUAUCUUUUGCUAAUGACGGUACCUGAAGAAUAAGCACCGGCUAACUACGUGCCAGCAGCCGCGGUAAUACGUAGGGUGCAAGCGUUAAUCGGAAUUACUGGGCGUAAAGCGUGCGCAGGCGGUUUUGUAAGUCUGAUGUGAAAUCCCCGGGCUCAACCUGGGAAUUGCAUUGGAGACUGCAAGGCUAGAAUCUGGCAGAGGGGGGUAGAAUUCCACGUGUAGCAGUGAAAUGCGUAGAUAUGUGGAGGAACACCGAUGGCGAAGGCAGCCCCCUGGGUCAAGAUUGACGCUCAUGCACGAAAGCGUGGGGAGCAAACAGGAUUAGAUACCCCUGUAGUCCCAUGAU